rnacentral:tRNA from 1 species
GGCUACGUAGCUCAGUUGGUUAGAGCACAUCACUCGCAAUAGAGAGUAAGGUCACGGGGUUCGAAUCCCGUCGUAGCCACCA